GAAGUCGUUACUCCAACCCUUGUGGAGGAGGACGCCGAAGGUGGGGCUAAUGACUGGGGUGAAGUCGUAACAAGGUAGCCGUACCGGAAGGUGCGGCUGGAUCACCUCCUAACAGGGAGACAACAAAAUGUAAAUAUUAAUUUUGUCACCUUAGGUCGAUCGGUAUCUCAGAUUCUUAUUAUUUAAGAAUUUCAGUUUCUAAGUUUUUUCUAGGUCACACCCAUCACUUUUUCCUGGGCCAUUAGCUCAGGUGGUUAGAGCGCACCCCUGAUAAGGGUGAGGUCCCUGGUUCAAGUCCAGGAUGGCCCAUAUCUCUAUGUUGGGGGUAUAGCUCAGUUGGUAGAGCGCCUGCUUUGCAAGCAGGAUGUCAGCGGUUCGAGUCCGCUUACCUCCACUGAAUACCACCUCUUACAUAUAGUUGAAGUGGGAAAUUGUUUUGAGUCGUGUCCUAAUUUGCUCUGAGCGAAUCUAGCUUCCUAUUUUAUCCAAGAAAUAAGAUGCUGGACUCAUUGAAUUUUUAUUCAUUGUUUUCAGAGAACCUUGACAACUGCAUAGAUUAUUUUUAAAGACAAUAAGCAUCUUUAAUGAUGCAGAUUUAUUAUUUGUGCGAAUGCAUUAAAUAACAAUUCUAUUAAGCUGAAGCUUCAAUUAUUGAAGUUAUUGGUCAAGCUACAAAGGGCUCACGGAGGAUACCUAGGCACACAGAGGCGAUGAA
rnacentral:misc_RNA from 1 species